CUCGUGUACUGAGGUGGCCCAGCUCCACCAGGGCCCGCUAUCCACAGGAACCUUUCACAACAGCCAUUACCCGCAGGGCUACAAAGAAUCAAAUGAGAGCAAGACAAGCGGAGAGCAGAGUCCUGGUUGCCAGCCUGGCACGGAUGAAAACCCAGUGAGAUGAGUCAGAAAAUGGCCAAGGAGGGCCCCAGGCUCUCCAAGAACCAGAAGUUCUCCGAGCACUUCAGCAUCCACUGUUGCCCACCCUUCACCUUCCUCAACUCCAAGCGUGAGAUCGUGGACCGCAAGUACAGCAUCUGCAAGAGCGGCUGCUUUUACCAGAAGAAGGAGGAGGACUGGAUCUGCUGUGCCUGCCAGAAGACUAGCCGCCGUGCCACGUCCCCUCAGAGGCCCAAGCACCAGCCAGCUGCGUCCCCAGUGGUGGUCAGAGCGCCGCCAGCCAAGCCAAAGUCCCCUCUGAUGCCAGCCAAGCCAAGGUCCCCUCCGAGGCCAGCCAAGCCAAGGUCCCCUUCAAGGACUGAGCACCAGCCGCGUCCCCGCCCAGAGGUCCGACCACCACCAGCCAAGCAGAAGCCCCCUCAGAAGUCUAAGCAGCCAGCACGCAGCAGCCCCCUCAGAGGGCCAGGCACCAGCCGCGGGGGUUCUCCCACCAGAGCUCCUAGGUUCUGAUUGAGGAGGAGGAGCAGGUCAACCCCAAGAAAGAAGUGACCGAGAAGGGACUUCUUGUGAAUGGACAGCCUCUGCCUGUGGACCUACUGCUUCCCCGCAACCCAUCUGCUCUCAGACGAAUUAUCUGACCUCAAGUAUGAUGCAGGAGUGGACGCCUGCUGAUGUAACAACCACAGAUGCCCUCAGUCCCCAUGGUGUGGGAGCCUUAGGGCAGCCUUCCUGGAGCACGUGGACGAUGUCAUCCCAUCACCUCCCUCUAUAACUGCCAGCGAGAUAUCUCUGUCAACUGUCUCGACUCUCCCUGGAUUCAGGUUCUUCAGGCUGAAGAUUCUUGUGUCUUCUUGGAUGUGCAAAACAAGGCCAUGGUACACAACCAUCCAAACCCAAACGGCAAAUACAAAAAAGAAAUUGUCAAGGGUUGGUGGUGACGUGAGAAAAAUCCUAGCAGCUUCCGAUGGGAGUCUAUACAUUGUCACCACUGAGCUGUACUCUGGGGACACUGUCAAGGCAAAAUAUCUUAAAACCUCUAAUCAAGUGACUGCAAUUUUAGGAAUCCAUCCUGGAGAAAACUCAUACCCUUUUAGAGAAGGAGAAAUGCACAAAUUUGUCUAAAAGAUCGUGGUUUGUAGUUAAGAGAGGUGGAAUGAAACUAGCCAAAAUGUCUGUCCACAGGGAAUGAGAGAAUCAAUUCUGGGACGUUCACAGAUAAAGUCCUAACAGCGGUUAAAAGCCAAUCUGUCAGAUAGACCAUGUCACGUAGGUAAAUCUAGAAAGCAAACUGAGAACUAUAAAAAUCAAGUACCGGGCAGUAAAUGCAGUAUGACGUCCUGGGCCUGAAUAUUGACACCCCACAAUCCUGCAUUGGUUAUUGCUUAAUAAGGAGAAGCCACAAGAUCUCAUACUUUUUCUAUAAUGCAAUAGGAUUUAAAAAUGACAGCAGAACACAAAGGCACUAGAAAUUGUCCUGUCAGAAAUAAAAGUAUAAGAAAUAAUUCCUGGCUUGAGGAAAUAACCCAGACUAAAAGCUACAUAGAAACGGCUUAACAGUACUGGCAGGGCAUAUAUUUGUUUGGAGAGGGUCGAUGUGAAGUCUGUGAAUAGUCUGGGAUGUUUACAAGGUUGCAUAAAUUUUAAACACCAAAAAUAUUUGUAUUGAAUCAAUUUUGGGUCUGGGCUAUAGAGUCCGCCUUGUGAUGGUUCCUGACACGAGAGAAAAGGGAAGAAAUGGAAACACAGCUCUCGAAUUUUCCUUUAAAGACCAGGUAGGUAGGAAAGGACAACAGGAUGUCGGGGAAUGUGGAGGGAUGUAAAACAGACAGUAUUACGGUGGGGAAAACUCAGUGUAGGGCGAUAAGAACAUCAGAAUGGCCUUGUGCUGGGAGCCGGGGUGGCCAAGCACAGGCAGAUGCUUGAAGACCCCAAAAGUCACCAUGGCGUCCUCACAGCCAAACCCGGCAAAGUUCAGAUCAAGUGCACGGAUGGGGGCCAUGUCAGUGGAAACUGUCGAAGGCAUGCAGAGGGGGUGAGGAAGACAGCCAGGAGGAAGAGAUGGCUCAGAAUGCUGCACUACAGCAAAGAAGAAGCAGGCCAAAUAUUGUCCUAAGGCAGCCAAGGGGUCCCGCUUCCUCUCCUGAGGACACUGUGGCUCCGUGGAAGUGCCGAGACAGAGGCAGGGGAAUUUAACUGCACAAAAACUACACGCAGAAACUCAGGUGCUAAAUGAACAUAUACGUGACCACCUUUCUGAGGACCAGGUUCCAGUGAGUGCCCAGGGCUGUUACCUUCUCGACGGUAACUGAGCUGAGAAGAAUGGGAACGGGAUAGGAGCACACAGUAGCCCAUUGGUGAGACAAAUUCCCAGGCUAGCUUCAUCCAAUCUAUUAAGGAGACUUUAUGCUUUUUCAUCUUGUUUACAUUUUGGCAAAGCAAAGCCCAUCCUGAGGGCUCGUUUGUCUCCGCCCUCCACGCCGCCCCUGAGACACGGAGCAUGCGCAUUAACCCAGAGCGCGCUAACCCAUGCGCAGCGUUGGACGUUAGCUCAUUAAUGUGAAUAACCAGAAACCACUAAAUUUUGUUUGUUGUAGAAAUAAAACCCGGGGAUGGAUCAAACCUAUCUGGAGACUGCUUGAAGCUGAUGGGUUACUAAGCAAAAUGUGCCUUGGAAUUCGUCACUGAGUCGCGUUGUAAUCAUUACGUACUGUUUUUCUACUUAACAUUGGCUCUCAGGAACAUUCCCCAGUAAAUACUGGAGAAAUUUCAUAAAACUCCAAAAGCUGUUCUUCAUAAAUUUCUUGAGUAGCAAUUCAAAGCCACAAUGUCUGACAUUAUUCUGAAUGUUAAUUAAUCUUACAUUUUGGGAGAAACGGAGGCAUGUGCCUGGAGUUGUUGGGGUCUCCAGGUAGAAAUCAUCAUAGCAUUUACUAAUUCCCAUGAGGUAAAUAUUCCCGCAGUGACGAUACUCAGCGGUAUGAAUGGGAGAGCUGGCCGCAUUGGCUCCCGCGCAUCGUUUAUUGCUCUCUCGUGACCUACCCUUCACUAUCUUCAUCCACAUGCACAGGCUGGUGCAAGGCAGAUAGCUGCUUACCUGUGGGCCUCUAUGCAAGCAGAGUUUAAUACACAAAGUCAUGGGCUGGAGAGACAGCUCAGUGGUUAGAGCACUGGCUCCUCUUCCAGAGGCCCUGGGUUCAGUCCCAGCACCCCCAUGCUGGCUCACAACCAUCCAUAAGUUCAGGUGGUCCUUGGCAUCUGAUGCCCCUUCUGGGCUCUGUGGGCACUGACAUGGUGCACAUACAUAUAUGUGGACAAACCACUCA